UGCGCAGGCGGGCUUGUAAGUCAGUGGUGAAAUACUGCCGCUCAACGGUAGAACUGCCAUUGAUACUGCAAGUCUUGAAUAUGGUUGAGGUAGGCGGAAUGUGUCGUGUAGCGGUGAAAUGCAUAGAUAUGACACAGAACGCCGAUUGCGAAGGCAGCUUACUAAGCCAUUAUUGACGCUGGGGCACGAAAGCGUGGGGAGCGAACAGGAUUAGUACCCUGGUAGUCC
rnacentral:rRNA from 1 species